GAUGAAGAACGUAGCGAAAUGCGAUACUUGGUGUGAAUUGCAGAAUCCCGUGAACCAUCGAGUCUUUGAACGCAAGUUGCGCCCGAAGCCAUUAGGCCGAGGGCACGCCUGCCUGGGCGUCACACGCCGUUGCCCCCCCAUCUACUCCUUCGGGAUUGCGGGGGGGCGGAUGAUGGCCUCCCGUGCGCCUAGCCGCGCGGUUGGCAUAAAUACCAAGUCCUCGGCGACGCACGCCACGACAAUCGGUGGUUGCGAAACCUCGGUUGCCCGUCGUGUGCGUUCGUCGCGCAUCGAGGGCUCGAAAAAAUGCUCGGCUCCGGCUGGGCUUUCAACGCGACCCCAGGUCAGGCGGGGUUACCCGCUGAAUUUAAGCAUAUCAAUAAGCGGAGGA
rnacentral:misc_RNA from 1 species